rfam:Gossypium hirsutum cultivar TM-1 unplaced genomic scaffold scaffold3328.1, whole genome shotgun sequence
UAUUAAAAUUUAAUCCAUUUCUAUUAUUAUAAACUAGUGUUGCUGACAGAAUAACUAAAUAAUAAUUACAAGUAAUGUGCCACGUGUGCCUCAUUCUAACCUAUAAGGACCAAUUUUUAACGGUAAAAAUAGAUGAUAAAAUUAUUAAUA